rnacentral:rRNA from 1 species
GGCGAACGCUGGCGGCAGGCUUAACACAUGCAAGUCGAACGCUCGUAGCAAUACGGGAGUGGCAGACGGGUGAGUAACGCGUGGGAAUAUGCCUUUUGGUUCGGAAUAACUCAGGGAAACUUGAGCUAAUACCGGAUAAGCCCGUGAGGGGAAAGAUUUAUCGCCAAAAGAUUAGCCCGCGUCCGAUUAGCUAGUUGGUGAGGUAAUGGCUCACCAAGGCGACGAUCGGUAGCUGGUCUGAGAGGAUGAUCAGCCACAUUGGGACUGAGACACGGCCCAAACUCCUACGGGAGGCAGCAGUGGGGAAUAUUGGACAAUGGGCGCAAGCCUGAUCCAGCCAUGCCGCGUGAGUGAUGAAGGCCUUAGGGUUGUAAAGCUCUUUUGUCCGGGAAGAUAAUGACGGUACCGGAAGAAUAAGCCCCGGCUAACUUCGUGCCAGCAGCCGCCGUAA